rnacentral:lncRNA from 10 species
CUCCUGCCCUCUGUCCAUGGGGAGUUCCACAUUCCUGUGGGGCUCCAGCUCUAUGACAGGGUAUGAGAUAAGUGUCACUCAGACCCCAUCUGGGCUUAAGAUGCGAGAAGAGGAAAUGGGCUGAGUUUGCCGCAGGCAUGGUUUAGGAGUCGAGAUACCUGCCAAUUGUAAACUUUCACCUUGGAUAUGAACGAGAGCAGGAAUAUGUUUGCCUUUUUUGCUCUUAAAGACACUGCAUUUUAGGGUCUUCUCAUAUUAUAGCAGCUUAUCUUACCCCAACUAAUAUGGUACCAACAGUCCCAGUCACUUUCUCCUAAUACAUUUUACCUCAAGGUUCAGAAUUCAAGACUUAGCUUUAUGCCACUGCACUAAGUCUCUUAUUUGAGAGUAGAGCUUUUGCUUAGUGUAUCCUAAUUCUUAGGAUGGAAUCAGGGUUCUAGUUAGUUUCUUUUUUGAGCAGUUCUGUUGUAAGGAUUGACAUUUCAUGGCUCUUAUUCUUCCUUAGAGAUCUUCCAAAGAAAAAAAGAGAAAUUGUAUGUUAUUUUUAAAUAGAAAAAUAUUGCUUUAUCUUGCAAUUACCACACGGGCCCAUUGGACACCUUCUUAAAUCUAAGAUAUAUUAUGGAAUUGUAUGAUCUCAUUUUUCCUAUCUCUUGAAAAAUUUUGCCAUUUCCUCAGCCUAGAAAUUACUUCAUCAUCACUUAUUAACUAUUCUAAGCUAUGCGGAAAAGACUAAAAUAAUAAGAAAAUGGAAUGAUGAUGGAAUUGCCUAGGAGG